rnacentral:ncRNA from 1 species
UCUCCCGCGAGGGGAAUCUGGAGGAAGUCCGAGGCAAAACGCUGGUCUGAGGAACAGGAAGCGGAUACGAGGCGUCACGAUGGGGUGAGAUGGCUCAAAUCAUCAAAGCCCGGUACUUGCACGGAACGUCAUGACGUAAAUCCGACAGGCAUAAGCGGGACAAAUUCGUCG